rfam:Nicotiana attenuata strain TT chromosome 1, whole genome shotgun sequence.
CGGCUUAGUGAAGUAUUGGUGGGAUUCUAUGCACUUUCAAGGUAAUCCAGCGACCGAAGCCCCAGUGAACGGCGGCCGUAACUAUAACGGUCCUAAGGUAGCAAAAUUUCUUGUCGGGUAAGUUCCGACCCGCACGAAAG